rnacentral:rRNA from 1 species
GAGGGGUGCAAGCGUUAUUCGGAAUUACUGGGGCGUAAAGGGGCGUGUAGGCGGUCUAUUAAGUCAGUUGUUAAAUACCCCCGGGCUCAACCGGGGGGACUCGCGAUUGAUACUGGUAGACUAGAGUGCAGAAGAGAGAGGUGGAAUUAUCGGAGUAGCGGUAAAAUGCGUAGAUCUCGAUAGGAACACCGAUGGCGAAGGCAGCCUCUUGGUCUGUGUCUGACGCCGAGGCGCGAAAGCGUGGGGAGCAAACAGGAUUAGAUACCCUGGUAGUCCACGCUGUAAACGAUGAUCACUAGAUGUGGCUUGAGCUUGCUCGGGCCGUGUCGCAGCUAACGCAUUAAGUGAUCCGCCUGGGAACUACGAUCGCAAGAUUA